ACGCUGGCGGCAGGCUUAACACAUGCAAGUCGAGCGGAGUGAUGGUGCUUGCACUAUCACUUAGCGGCGGACGGGUGAGUAAUGCUUAGGAAUCUGCCUAUUAGUGGGGGACAACAUUUCGAAAGGAAUGCUAAUACCGCAUACGUCCUACGGGAGAAAGCAGGGGAUCUUCGGACCUUGCGCUAAUAGAUGAGCCUAAGUCGGAUUAGCUAGUUGGUGGGGUAAAGGCCUACCAAGGCGACGAUCUGUAGCGGGUCUGAGAGGAUGAUCCGCCACACUGGGACUGAGACACGGCCCAGACUCCUACGGGAGGCAGCAGUGGGGAAUAUUGGACAAUGGGCGCAAGCCUGAUCCAGCCAUGCCGCGUGUGUGAAGAAGGCCUUAUGGUUGUAAAGCACUUUAAGCGAGGAGGAGGCUACUGAAGUUAAUACCUUCAGAUAGUGGACGUUACUCGCAGAAUAAGCACCGGCUAACUCUGUGCCAGCAGCCGCGGUAAUACAGAGGGUGCAAGCGUUAAUCGGAUUUACUGGGCGUAAAGCGCGCGUAGGCGGCUAAUUAAGUCAAAUGUGAAAUCCCCGAGCUUAACUUGGGAAUUGCAUUCGAUACUGGUUAGCUAGAGUGUGGGAGAGGAUGGUAGAAUUCCAGGUGUAGCGGUGAAAUGCGUAGAGAUCUGGAGGAAUACCGAUGGCGAAGGCAGCCAUCUGGCCUAACACUGACGCUGAGGUGCGAAAGCAUGGGGAGCAAACAGGAUUAGAUACCCUGGUAGUCCAUGCCGUAAACGAUGUCUACUAGCCGUUGGGGCCUUUGAGGCUUUAGUGGCGCAGCUAACGCGAUAAGUAGACCGCCUGGGGAGUACGGUCGCAAAACUAAAACUCAA
rnacentral:rRNA from 2 species